rnacentral:rRNA from 1 species
AAAUUGAAGAGUUUGAUCAUGGCUCAGAUUGAACGCUGGCGGCAGGCCUAACACAUGCAAGUCGAGCGGAAACGAGUUAUCAGAACCUUCGGGGGACGAUAACGGCGUCGAGCGGCGGACGGGUGAGUAAUGCCUAGGAAAUUGCCCUGAUGUGGGGGAUAACCAUUGGAAACGAUGGCUAAUACCGCAUGAUGCCUACGGGCCAAAGAGGGGGACCUUCGGGCCUCUCGCGUCAGGAUAUGCCUAGGUGGGAUUAGCUAGUUGGUGAGGUAAGGGCUCACCAAGGCGACGAUCCCUAGCUGGUCUGAGAGGAUGAUCAGCCACACUGGAACUGCGACACGGUCCAGACUCCUACGGGAGGCAGCAGUGGGGAAUAUUGCACAAUGGGCGCAAGCCCGAUGCAGCCAUGCCGCGUGUGUGAAGAAGG